GGCAUAGUGGCUAUGAAUCCCAGGAGACCAAGGCAAGGAGAUCUCUGAGUUCAAGGUCAUUUGGGACAAAGCAAGUCCCAGAUCCAGGCAUGGUGGCACACACCUUUAAUCUGGGCCACACCUUCUGCUAGAGACCUACAUAAGGACAUUGGAAGAAGGAAGAUUCUUUCUUCCUUGCCUGCUUGCCUUGUGGGACUGAGCAACUGCUAGAUCCUUGAACUUCCAUUCACAGCUGCUGCUGACCACUCUUGGGGAAUUGGACUACAGACUGUAAGUCAUCAACAGAUUACCUUACUAUAUAGAGACUACCCAUAAGUUCUGUGACUCUAGAGAACCCUGACUGAUAUAAUCUUAAAAUUUAAAAAAGAAGAGGAAGAGGAGAAACAGGAUUAAAAUAAAAAUGAAAGCAGAAAACGGAAUGACUUUAGGCAUCGGAUGAAGGGGCAGUGUUGUCUGCAAAUGGAGCUGGAGAAGUGAGUGGGACAAGAAGAGAACAGGAUGAGAACAGAGUUAGACCUGCUGUCUUAGCGAGGCUUUUACUGCUGUGAACAGACACCAUGGCCAAAGCCACUCUUAGAAGGACAGCAUUUAAUUGGGGCUGGCUUAGAAGUUCAGUCCAUUAUCAUCAUGGUGGGAGCAUGGCAGCAUCCAGGUAGGCAUCGUACAGGAGGAGCUGAGAGUUCUACGUCUUCAUCUGAAAGCUUCUAGCAGAAUACUGACUUCCAGGCAGCAAGGAUGAGGGUCUUAAAGCCCACAUUCACAGUGACACAUCUACUGCAACAGGGCCACACCUUCUAAUAGUGCCACUCCCUGGGCCUAGCAUAUACAAACCAUCACAGCUGCCUCCUGCCAAUCAGCUCCAGGUCUUAUGAGAGAUACUCCUUGUACGUGAACCACGUUGACUAGGUUCCUAUAUCUUGUAGCUCAAUAAGCCUGAUUCCACUGUCUGUCCCUCUUUGGAACUUGGUCUCCUGAACCAUCUAAACAGUCCUUUCCGGAUCAUGGUGGCAAGGCAACAGGGUCUGUUGCUGGCAAAUGAGAUGGGGCUUGGAGCACUGACAUCCCAGCUCCCAAAAUAGCUUGGUGGCUGGUUAGUGGAUCCAACACACACCUGGCUUUGAAUCUGAGCCCCAUUGCUACAAUCUGCCUCCCCCUUCCAUCACAGCCUUUGUUGGAUUACAAAGGAGAGGAAGCGCUUGGAGGCACUCUUGGCAGCAUCCUCUGGCUGCUAAAUGCCCUACCUGCCCCCUUAACACCUUCCCUGACCACUUUAGCCUCUGCGACAACUUCACUGCCAGGCUUGUUUCAAAGAAAGAGCUACCCCAGGAAGAUUUUGAGACAAAGAAACUUUUCUUCUUUGGCAUUGACAUUUCCUGCCUCCCAACUGCUUGGCUCUCAUGUCUGCCCUGCCUUCCUCCUUGGCUAGGAACCAUGUGUUGGUGACAGGUCUUUGCUUCUCUAUGGUGCUUUGUGCUUUUCAGAGCCUUUCACAGGCUCCAUCUUGUUUGCUGAUCACAGAAACGCAGGGAGGGGCAAGGAAAAAUAGAAGACACCACUUACUGUCCCCCACCUCCCCUCUCCAGUUAGAACUAUUUUAUGGGCUUUAGAGGGUGUCUUACAUAGACCUGGCUGCCCUUGAAUUUUAUGUGUAGCUAAGGAUAUCACUUUUGAGUUCCUGAUUCUCCUGCUUCCAUCUCCCAAGGGCUGUGGUUUUAAGCACAUGACACUAGGCCAGCAAAACAAUUUACUUAAAAAGUUUUUUUGAUAGUUUUUGCCAUGUGUCCUAGGCUGGCCUCCAACUUAUCCUCCUGCCUCAUCCUCCUAAGUAGUGGGAUUACAGGCAUGCAAUGCCACACUUGGCUGAUACACACACACACACACACACACAGACAUAUGAAUGAAUGAUUUUCAAGACAAGAUUUCUCUGUGUACUCUGGCUCUCCUGGAACUCACUCUGUAGACUAGGCUGGCCUCCACCUGCCUCUGCCUCCAGAGUGCUGGGAUUAAAAGCUUGUGCCACCACUGCCUGGCUUGAAAAUAAAUUUUAAUUAUCUCUAUGCUACUUUUAGAACAGGCAUGGUGGUACACUUCUCUAAUCCUGACACUUGGGACACAGAAAUAAGCAGAUCUCUGUGAGUCCUACGCUAGCCUAGUCUACACAGUGAGUUUGAGGAUAGCCAGGACUACAUAGUAAAACCCUGCCUCAAACAAACAAACAAACAAACCAACCAAUGAAAAUAUUGAAACUGAGUUUCUUAAUGACUUGCCUAUAAUCACACAGCAAGUUAAUGGCUAAAUGGAAUCUAGAUAGUUUCCAGGCAAGGACCACACUUUAAUGUCGUUAUCAUCUCAGGAUUUGCCUGACCCCAGCUUGCAAAAUGGUACUGACAUAGCAAGAUACGGCCAUGAGAAAUAACACUCCUGUGGCUGCUGAUCAUGGUUUGCAGGAGGCAUUUACAAUAACCCCUCCAGAGACCUGACUGCCCCACCAUGUCUUGGGUAGCACCAAGAGACUGCAGAAGAAGUCUGGAAUGGAUGCAAGGGUUUUGUGACAGUUCCUCUAGUGUUGGCAAGGAGAAAUGCUUCGAAACCACUUCCCGUUUUGAUUGCUGGAAACAGGGUGGAAGGUAAAUCAGAAUUUAAAGAUUCCCCCAUUUUGUUCCUCUGUCAGGACUGCU
rnacentral:lncRNA from 1 species